rnacentral:tRNA from 1 species
GGGUGCGUAGCUCAGUCGGUAGAGCAACUGACUCUUAAUCAGUGGGUCGUGGGUUCGAUCCCCGCCGCGCCUACCA